AGGGAUAGCCAUUCGAAAGGAUGAUUAAUACCGGAUAGUCUCUACGGAGUAAAAAUUUAUUGCUUGGGGAGGAGCCUGCGUUCUAUCAGCUUGUUGGUGAGGUAAAAGCUCACCAAGGCUAUGACGGAUAGCUGGUCUGAGAGGAUGAUCAGCCACAAUGGAACUGAGACACGGUCCAUACUCCUACGGGAGGCAGCAGUGAGGAAUCUUCCACAAUGGACGAAAGUCUGAUGGAGCGACACCGCGUGAAGGAUGAAGGCCUAACGGUUGUAAACUUCUUUUCUGAAGGAGCAUAAUGAGAGUACUUCAGGAAUAAGGGACGGCUAAAUACGUGCCAGCAGCCGCGGUAAUACGUAUGUCUCGAGCGUUACCCGGAAUCACUGGGUGUAAAGGGUUCGUAGGCGGUUUAAUAAGUUGGAUAUGAAAGACCGGAGCUCAACUUCGUGUUUGUGUUCAAAACUGUUAAACUAGAAUCAGGGAGAGGUAAGUAGAAUUCUAAGUGUAGGGGUGCAAUCCGUAGAUACUUAGAGGAAUACCAAAAGCGAAGGCAACUUACUGGAACUGUAUUGACGCUGAGGAACGAAAGCGUGGGUAGCGAAAAGGAUUAGAUACCCUUGUAGUCCACGCCCUAAACGAUGAUAACUAAGUGUUGCUCCUAGAGGGCAGUGCUGAAGCUAACGCAAUAAGUUAUCCACCUGAGGAGUACGGUCGCGAGAUUAAAACUCAAAGGAAUAGACGGGGACCCACACAAGCAGUGGAUCACGUGGUUUAAUUCGACGAUAAACGGGGAACCUUACCCAGACUUGACAUCCUAAGAAUCUUCUAGAGAUAGAAGAGUGCCUUUAUUGGAACUUAGUGACAGGUGCUGCAUGGUUGUCGUCAGCUCGUGCCUUGAGGUGUUCGGUUAAGUCCGUUAACGAGCGCAACCCAUGUCCUUAGUUAUUAUGUCUAAGGAGACUGCCUUGGUUAACAAGGAGGAAGGUGUGGAUGACGUCAAAUCAGCAUGGCUUUUACGUCUGGGGCUACACACAUGAUACAAUGGUAUGUACAAAGAGCAGCGAUAUGGUAACAUUGAGCGAAUCUUAAAAGCAUAUCUCAGUCCGGAUUGAGGUCUGAAACUCGACCUCAUGAAGUUGGAAUUGCUAGUAAUCGUGAA
rnacentral:rRNA from 1 species